GGCGUCAAGAAGAAGAAAACGACUCAAGUCCCAGCUUAUCUCGUCUUGAAUAACUGCACACCACAUCCUGCAGAAGUGCUAACCUCAGCCGCCCGCCGCACCACGAGCCCCUCUGAGCGCCGGUUCUGGCUACCCUAUUCCUGCUAUUCCUGCCGGGACGAGCUCCUGGAUCCCAGCUUUCUCAGGAACACAUCAGGAACGUGACUGUUUUAAGAAGAAAGAAGUACAAACUGUUUCACAGUCUCCUCUCUUCCCCAUGUGGUGCAGGCUAUUCUCACUUGAGAACAGGGACCUCCAGUUGACGGAAAAUCCUCUCAGAUACGCCCAGAACUAGCCUGUCCUCUGUCUCUGUCUGAGCCACGGGAAAGAUGCCUUUCACCAAGACACCUUAGACACCUCCCCAGAGGAUAUGGUAACGUUAAAGUGCUUUUCUAUAAAAACCUGAAUGUUUUAGGGUCACUCAUCCUACAUCCCAAACAGGACCAGCAGUAACAUGACUAUUUUUAAUAUCUAACUACGAAAUUUCUGACUUCUUGAAUUACAUUAAUACUAGUAACAAUGCAAGCUGUGACAAGAGAAACAUGUUUCCACAGAACAUUCAAG